UCUUUUUGACAGACACAUCUGGCUCCCCUCUCUGGAAAGGAAAAGAAAUAUGACAGAAGAUAUAGUUCAGUCACACUCUCCCUUACCUCAGCAGGGAAAGAGAAGGAUAGUUUACUUGUAUCUUCCAGCAGAAGGAGAAAUUGUUUAACCAGAUGGACAACUCCAACCCGCAGCACCCCCUACCACUGAAUUCAGAGGAGACUCAAUAUGAGAUGCAGAAAGUGAAUGGUAUUUGAAUUGAAAGGUGCUGGGAGCAAAAGAGUACUUAAAGUUUUCCAACCGUACCAGCAACUUUUUCUAUAGAAGUGCAAAAAUUUGCAUUCUAAACCUAGAAAUCCUAGAAUAUCCUCUAACGAGUGGUAAAAUACUAUCCAUAAUAUAACUGAUUAGUCAAAAGCAGAAACCACUUUUACAUGCAACAAUUAAAAUGGACAAAACAAAAAAGACACAUAUGUAGACACACACACAAAAUAAAGCCUUCCCUUUAUUUUUC